rfam:Gossypium hirsutum cultivar TM-1 chromosome 2, whole genome shotgun sequence
AGCCCAUGGUGAGGGAAUCUUCUCUAUAGGUCAUUGUAUCUCUCCCAUGCAUCGUAGAGUGUUUCUAAAUCCAUCUGCACAAAGGAAGAAAUAUCAUUACAUAAUUU